GUGUUUGCUUCGGCAGCACACAUACUAAAAUUGUAAUUAGAGAAUACAGAGAAGAUUAACAUGGCUCCUGAGCAAGGAUGACACACAAAUGUGUGAAGCAUUCCAUAUAGAA